UUAUUACUCCCUCCGUUCCAAAUUACUCGUCGCAGAAAUGGAUGUAUCUAGAACUAAAAUACAUCUAGAUACAUCCAUACCUGCGACAAGUAAUUCGGAACGGAGGGAGUACAUG
rnacentral:pre_miRNA from 1 species